AGUCACUGACAUUAGAUACCCCUGUAGUCCAGGGUGUAAACGCUGCAGACUUGGUGUUGGGAACCCUUCGGGGGUGCUCAGUGCCGGAGAGAAGUUGUUAAGUCUGCUACUUGGGGAGUACGUCCGCAAGGAUGAAACUUAAAGGAAUUGGCGGGGGAGCACCGCAACGGGAGGAGCGUGCGGUUUAAUUGGAUUCAACGCCGAAAACUCACCAGCAGCGACUGUUACAUGAAAGUCAGGUUGAUGACCUUACUAGAUUUUCAG
rnacentral:rRNA from 1 species